CGGUACAGUCAAAAAAAAAAAAAAACAAGCAGUCAAACAUCAAGUUCAACAACAACAAGUCCAUCCACAACUUCUGCAACUACAUCGUCACCAACCACAUCAGCAACAACCAGUCAAAUAUCAAGUUCAACAUCAACAAGUCCAUCCACAACUUUUGCAACUACAUCGUCACCAACCACAUCAGCAACAACCAGUCAAAUAUCAAGUUCAACAUCAACAAGUCCAUCCACAACUUCUGCAACUACAUCGUCACCAACAUCAGCAACAAGCAGUCCAUCCACAACUUCUGCAACUACAUCAUCACCAACCACAUCAGCAACAACCAGUCAAACAUCAAGUUCAACAACAAGUCCAUCCACAACUUCUGCAACUACAUCGUCACCAACAACUUCAGCAACAAGCAGUCAAACAUCAAGUUCAACAGCAAGUCCAUCCACAACUUCUGCAACUACAUCAUCACCAACCACAUCAGCAACAACCAGUCAAACAUCAAGUUCAACAUCAACAAGUCCAUCCACAACUUCUGCAACUACAUCAUCACCAACCACAUCAGCCACAACCAGUCAAACAUCAAGUUCAACAACAAGUCCAUCCACAACUUCUGCGACUACAUCGUCACCAACAACAUCAGCAACAAGCAGUCAAACAUCAAGUUCAACAGCAAGUCCAUCCACAACUUCUGCAACUACAUCGUCACCAACCACAUCAGCAACAACCAGUCAAAUAUCAAGUUCAACAUCAACAAGUCCAUCCACAACUUCUGCAACUACAUCGUCACCAACAUCAGCAACAAGCAGUCCAUCCACAACUUCUGCAACUACAUCAUCACCAACCACAUCAGCAACAACCAGUCAAACAUCAAGUUCAACAUCAACAAGUCCAUCCACAACUUCUGCAACUACGUCAUCACCAACCACAUCAGCCACAACCAGUCAAACAUCAAUUACAACAGCAACAAGUCCCUCCACAACUUCUGCAUCUACAUCGUCACCAACCACAUCAGCAACAACCAGUCAAAUAUCAAGUUCAACAUCAACAAGUCCAUCCAGAACUUUUGCAACUACAUCGUCACCAACCACAUCAGCAACAACCAGUCAAAUAUCAAGUUCAACAUCAACAAGUCCAUCCACAACUUCUGCAACUACAUCGUCACCAACAUCAGCAACAAGCAGUCAAACAUCAAGUUCAACAACAACAAGUCCAUCCACAACUUCUGCAACUACAUCAUCACCAACCACAUCAGCAACAACCAGUCAAACAUCAAGUUCAACAACAAGUCCAUCCACAACUUCUGCGACUACAUCGCCACCAACCACAUCAGCCACAACCAGUCAAACAUCAAUUACAACAGCAACAAGUCCCUCCACAACUUCUGCAUCUACAUCAUCACCAACCACAUCAGCAACAACCAGUCAAACAUCAAGUUCAACAUCAACAAGUCCAUCCACAACUUCUGUAACUACAUCGUCACCAACCACAUCAGCAACAACUAGUCAAACAUCAAGUUCAACAUCAACAAGUCCAUCCAUAUCUUCUGCAACUACAUCAUCACCAACCACAUCAGCCACAACCAGUCAAACAUCAAGUUCAACAGCAACAAGUGCAUCCACAACUUCUGCAACUACGUCGUCACCAACCACAUCAGCAACAAGUCAAACGUCUAGUUCAACAUUAACAAGUCCAUCCACAACUUCUGCAACAACAUCGUCACCAACCACAUCAGCAACAACCAGUCAAACAACUAGUUCAACAUCAACAAGUCCAUCCACAACUUCUGCAACAACAUCGUCACCAACCACAUCAGCAACAACCAGUCAAACAUCAAGUACAACAGCAACAAGUCCCUCCACAACUUCUGCAUCUACAUCGUCACCAACCACAUCAGCAACAACCAGUCAAACAUCAAGUUCAACAUCAACAAGUCCAUCCACAACUUCUGCAACUACAACGUCACCAACCACAUCAGCAACAACCAGUCAAACAUCAAGUUCUACAACAACAGGUCCAUCCACAACUUCAGCAACUACAUCGUCACCAACCACAUCAGCAACAUCCAGUCAAACAUCAAGUUCAACCUCAACAAGUCCCUCCACAACUUCUGCAACUACAUCGUCACCAACCACAUCAGCAACAACCAGUCAAACAUCAAGUUCUACAGCAACAAGUCCAUCCACAACCUCUGCAACUACAUCGUCACCAACCACAUCAGCAACAACCAGUCAAACAUCAAGUUCAACAGCAACAAGUCCAUCCACAACUUCUGCAACUACAUCGUCAGCAACCACAUCAGCAAUAACCAGUCAAACAUCAAGUUCUACAACAAGUCCCUCCACAACUUCUGCAACUACAUCGUCACCAACCACAUCAGCAACAACCAGUCAAACAACUAGUUCAACAGCAACAAGUCCAUCCACAACUUCUGCAGCUACAUCGUCACCAACCACAUCAGCAACAACCAGUCAAACAUCAAGUUCAACAUCAACAAGUCCAUCCACAACUUCUGCAACUACAUCGUCACCAACCACAUCAGCCACAACCAGUCAAACAACUAGUUCAACAUCCACAACUUCUGCAACUACAUCGUCACCAACCACAUCAGCCACAACCAGUCAAACAUCAAGUACAACAGCAACAAGUCCCUCCACAACUUCUGCAUCUACAUCAUCACCAACCACAUCAGCAACAACCAGUCAAACAUCAAGUUCAACAACAACAAGUCCAUCCACAUCUACUGCAGCUACAUCGUCACCAACCACAUCAGCAACAACCAGUCAAACAUCAAUUUCAACAUCAACAAGUCCAUCCACAACUUCUGCAACUACAUCAUCACCAACAACAUCAGCAACAACCAGUCAAACAUCAAGUUCAACAUCAACAAGUUCAUCCACAACUUCUGCAACUACAUCGUCACCAACCACAUCAGCAACAACCAGUCAAACAUCAAGUUCAACAUCAACAAGUCCAUCCACAACUUCUGCAACUACAUCGUCACCAACCACAUCAGCAACAACCAGUCAAACAUCAAGUUCAACAUCAACAAGUCCAUCCACAACUUCUGCAACUACAUCGUCACCAACCACAUCAGCAACAACCAGUCAAACAUCAAGUUCAACAACAAGUCCAUCCACAACUUCUGCAACUACAUCGUCACCAACCACAUCAGUAACAACCAGUCAAACAUCUAGUUCAACAUCCACAAGUCCAUCCACAACAUCUGCAACUACAUCAGCAACAACCAGUCAAACAUCUAGUUCAACAUCCACAAGUCCAUCCACAACUUCUGCAACUACAUCGUCACCAACCACAUCAGCAACUGCAGGUGUUCAGCCAAUCUAUAUUGUUUCAGCAACUUUACCUCAAGAGACUUUUCGAGAAAAACUCACUAACCCAAACAGCACAACAUACAAAGAACUUGAAAGUCGAGUAAUAGACACGUGUACACCUAUCUACACAAGAAAAUAUGGAAAGAGAUUUGUCCGCUGCUUUGUGAAACAAUUCCGCCGUGCUGUGCGUCUACAAGUACGAGAAGAUGCAACUGCAGCUGAUAUUGGGGUUGUGCUCCGCAACAAUAUCCCCAUUUCUGACCUCCCAAAUAAUGACGAAGUUGCUGAAACUUUAGCAAUUGCAGCAAGUAGCAAUGAGACCUUAAGUGUGGCUCUGUCCGCAUCCUCAAUCCAAACUAUAUCUGGUCCAGUUCCUUUAACUACUGAGCCUGCAACUACAACAACCACAUCAAGUUCAACAACAACAAGUCCAUCCACAACUUCUGCAACUACAUCAUCACCAACCACAUCAGCAACAACCAGUCAAACAUCAAGUUCAACAACAAGUCCAUCCACAACUUCUGCAACUACAUCGUCACCAACAACAUCAGCAACAACCAGUCAAACAUCUAGUUCAACAUCCACAAGUCCAUCCACAACUUCUGCAACUACAUCGUCACCAACCACAUCAGCAACUUCAGGUGUUGAGCCAAUCUAUAUUGUUUCAGCAACUUUACCUCAAGAGACUUUUCGAGAAGAACUCACUAACCCAAACAGCACAACAUACAAAGAACUUGAACGUCGAGUAAUAGACACGGUAUGUUGACCUUUGUAUACAAUUCUUUCCAUUAUUGACUUUUAGAAUUUCGAUUUAAGAAAAGUAUACACAAUUAAGUCCAUUCAAAUCAGUUGUUAAAUUUAAUAAUAUUAAUUAGUUGGUAGUUGAAUUUAAUCAAUUUGGAUCCAAAUUGAAUCCAAGUCCGUCGAAGUCCAAGUUGUAAUUCAGUCCUACACCAGUGCAAACCUUG
ensembl:lncRNA